GUGCCAGCAGCCGCGGUAAUACGUGGGGGCCGAGCGUUGUCCGGAGUUACUGGGCGUAAAGGGCGCGCAGGCGGCGGCGUGGGUCCGGCGUGAAAGCCCCCGGCUCAACCGGGGAACGUCGUCGGGGACCGCGCCGCUUGAGGGCGGCAGGGGCCGGUGGAAUGCCUGGUGUAGUGGUGAAAUGCGUAGAGAUCAGGCGGAACACCCGUGGCGAAGGCGGCCGGCUGGGCCGUCCCUGACGCUGAGGCGCGAAGGCGUGGGGAGCGAACGGGAUUAGAAACCCUCGUAGUCC
rnacentral:rRNA from 1 species